GAAUGUACGUCCGGCAUUCUCCCUUGAGACAUUAUUUACAUAGCGACGGACACAGGUUUUCCAUAGUUAACCAUCUAUGGUUUUUUCCUGGGCGGUUUUUAAUGUCUGUGAUAGGGUGCUUUAUUGUUUCACAAUCAAUGUAAUGUUUGUUCAAUAUUUAUGUAUUGUUAUAAAAAAAUGCCAUCUGCUCCAACUAAGCUAAACUGGCUUGCAGCAUAGGUGUUGUUUUAUUUGAGGUGUAGUCUGUCAAAUAAUGAUGAGUCGAGAAUAUACUAAGAGGGUCUCUGAGGAAACUUGCCCUUGAAUGUUUAUGUAAAAUCUGAAUAAAAAAAAUUAUCAAACUU